CAAUCUGUUUUGAUUCACUUAAAUUUGUCUAAGAAUUUGUUUACUUUGUUCUUGUCUUAAUUUAAUUAUUUUUGUCCAAAAUCAACCCCAUCUUAUUUCUUUGAGUCAUAUUAAUUAGAACUUGUCUUAGAUUAUGUUUUUAAGUGUUUUAGUUCAUUAGAGAACCAAAAUUCGUCCAAGUUUGUGUUAGAGUCCCAAAACUGCCCAGAUUGUGUGUUUAAGGUAGUUUUGAG
rnacentral:lncRNA from 1 species